GCCCGGAUGGUGAAAUCGGCAGACACAGCGGACUUAAAAUCCGCAGACCUUAAACGGUCGUGGGGGUUCAAGUCCCCCUCCGGGCACCA
rnacentral:tRNA from 2 species